GGACCCGCACAAGUAGUGGAGCAUGUGGUUUAAUUCGAAGAUACGCGCAGAACCUUACCAACACUUGACAUGUUCGUCGCGACUCUAAGAGAUUAGAGUUUCGGUUCGGCCGGACGAAACACAGGUGCUGCAUGGCUGUCGUCAGCUCGUGUCGUGAGAUGUUGGGUUAAGUCCCGCAACGAGCGCAACCCUCACUUUUAGUUGCCAUCAUUUAGUUGGGCACUCUGAAAGAACUGCCAGUGAUAAGCUGGAGGAAGGUGGGGAUGACGUCAAGUCCUCAUGGCCCUUACGUGUUGGGCUACACACGUGCUACAAUGGUAUCUACAACAGGAAGCAAAACAGCGAUGUUAAG
rnacentral:rRNA from 1 species